CAAUGAGCUCAGGUAGCUUCCAUUUAGUUUCAAGAGAGUUAUAAUUUAUCUUAAAUGGAUUGAACUGUGAGGGUAGUGACCUAAAAAAAAGGAGCACAAGAAGCUCUUCGUUCAAGUCACACUUCAUGGUUUUAAGCUUUGCCGCAACAUUGCUCAUACUUACUAUGUGUUCCCUCACACUUCCUUGCCCAUCAUAUUUUGCAAGCAGCUUGUGUAAAAGCUCAUCAGCAUACACUUUCUCUGAGCCCUUA
rnacentral:lncRNA from 1 species